rnacentral:rRNA from 1 species
UGGUGGAGUGAUUUGUCUGGUUAAUUCCGAUAACGAACGAGACUCUGUCCUGCUAACUAGGUUGUGUUUUCUCGGGUUGGUGUUUCUGGUGCUCCUUCUCGGGGCGCCGGCCCAAUCCACUUGUGAACACAACACUCUUCUUAGAGGGACUGGCGGCUGUUAGCCGCACGAGAUAGAGCAAUAACA